rnacentral:piRNA from 1 species
UGAGCAUCUAGUUAUUCAGGAGCUU